AAUAUUUGUGCGGUUAACUAAAUGUCCAGGCUGGGGGAUGGUGUUCGACGAAGGGCAGAUGUCAGUGGAGUUAUAAAGUCAGAAAAGAGCAUCUGCCUUCUAGUUCCUGGAACAUUGUCUAUACAUUAUAAGAUGCAUGAAGAGCAAGCCCCAGCAAGCAUGAUGGAGUAGCACCUCCAGGCAGAAUGGAAGUAUCCAAGGUGUAGGUGGUCGAUAU